rnacentral:lncRNA from 1 species
UGCCGCCAUCCAUAUAAGAUGUGACGUGGUCCUCCUCAACUUCUGCCAUGAUUGUGAGGCCUCCCCCAAAUUGCCCAGUCUUGUGAAUUGAUACAGCAGCUCAUCUGAAAAAAAAAGAUGGGGUGGUGGUGGUGGUGGAGAAAACAGCAACUUAAAUAGUGCCAUCUACGAAUUAGGAGUGUUCACUGAAUGAGCAUGAGAUGCAGAUGAGAACAUUGAAGCACAGAGAAAUUAUGUUAACUUGUCCAGUGCCAAAGAGCUAUUAAGUGGCAGAGCUGGGAUUUACUUCCACUGCACUGUUGCCUCUUUGGUUAGGAGCUCUUUGCUGUGCUGAGAUUGCAGUAUUUAAAGAUAGGACAAUGAAUAUGGUGGAUUGUAAUGGUUAAUACUGAGUGUCAACUUGAUUGGAUUGAAGGAUGCAAAGUAUUGAUCCUGAGUGUGGACACUGCACCAGGAACUGGAGGACAAGGUAGCCAAUUUCUUGCCAUUCUAUUAAGGGAGGAAGAUUUUAAACAAAUAACUACAACAAAAUGUACAGAGUGGCAUGAUCAAAGGAGUACAAGGAGCUAUCAGAGAUGACUAGGAGUUGGCCAGAUGAAGAAAGUGUAGAGGGAAGUGUCUUGAAACCUUUCCCCUGAACAAACCUGAAAGGUAGAAGACCAUGAGAUGACGCCUCUGGGGGACUGGGUAUAUAGCUCAAGGCUGUCCAC